CAAACAUGGUGAGGACAGAUUAUUUUGUUCAAAUUUUUAUGGCUAUGGACUCGUAACUAGUCGAUCACACCACACUUACACCAACACACUCAAAUAUAUAAGCAUAUUACUUAGUCGUAGAAGAACGAACAAAACAACCAGAAGAUGAAAAGAAAAGAACACUAAAAUUAAUUGUGGAAAAAACUCCAAAAUCAACUUUAAAAUUAAAUUCUAAAAUUUAAAUGAGCCAUGGCGGUAAACCAACCAGUAAACAAAUAUUUUGUUUGGGGAGCUUAAAAAUCUAAAAACAGCUGGUUUGUAUCUAGCUUCCGAGAAUUUAAAAAAGUUGAUUUUCCCAACUUCUGAUUUCUAAUUUACUGUAUGGGUUCUAUAACUACGUAUUUUAAAAAUCCUAGCCAAAAAUCUAGAUUUUUAAAAAGAACUAGAUAUUCUAAAAGAAGCUAUAGCCUCCAGGUUGUUGCGGGUCGCCGCCGUCAGAGCUAUGUCCGCCCCCAAUUGGAUCGUUGCUGGGGGACUGAACUUACUCUUGCUGGCCCAUGUGGCCAUGUAUAUGGGCCGGCCCAAAUCCAUGGCCCAUGUGACCCAUGUAUAUGGGCCGGCCCACUCCGUACGCGCGGCGGGCCGCAACGCAACCCCACCUGGCCGGGCCCGUGAAAUGCGUAAAGCGCCGUCCCCGAACUGCGCCGCAUUUGACCGAUUCCGGCGGCGGCGGCGGCGGCGGCGGUUUCCGGGACGAAGAGGCGGAUCGGCGCCGGAGAUCCGACGAAUCCACGGCGGCACCGGCGGCGGAGGUGCUAGGAUGGAAUCGGGGCCAGCAUUUCUUCACCCCGCACAUUUUGAAUUUUUGAUCCGACGGUUUCUGUGACUCGAGGCCGGAGAAAUUGGAAAGCCGGCGCGUCGUCGUCGUCGAGAUCGGCGCCGUCGUGUGCAUCGAUGAUUCAACGUGGUCGAGGAGAGGAUCGCUCGCGCUCGCGGCGGAUCAGAUUCAGAGACCGUCCCCAAACCUCAUGUAAAGCUGUGCAGACAAACCUCUACAAGAGCAACAAAUGAGGCCAUCAUCAUGGCAAAAGAUUCACCAGCAUCAAAUGUUGGAGCCCCCCAUUGAAAAGGGAAAGGAACUCUUAUCCUACAAGAUUUUUUUUUCAGUGCUUCUAUGAUGAGUACUAUCAAUAAAGGGCCCAGGAAGAGAAAUGAUGAAACACUCAUGAAUUGCUUACCAUGGAGCUCCACUGAUAAUUCCAGAGCGAUCAACACGACAGUGCACUUGUGUCUUCGGCCGGGCAUUCUUGUAUGCGCCACUAGCAGUUAGAAUGUAUGCAUACAGCCACACAAUAGCAAUGGUGAAAAUCACAGCAAACCGGUCGAACACGGGCUUUGCCACAUGUAUGACAUGGGGUAAAUACUGCACAAGGGGGCAAAUGCAGUUAGCUCAUGACUUUCAGCAACCACAGCUAUACUUGUGUGAAUAUGCAUUAUGACUGCUGCAAUCACCUGAGAAAAUACAAGCAGUAGAAUGAUUUCUGGGAGCCCAAUUUCCACGCACUUUGCAACCUGCACAUACAGUUGUGGCACUAAAAUCAGUCUUAUGAGGUAGGGAACAGCCAAAGAAAAAAAAAAGAAUCUCCAAGCUAACUCUUACCCCUGGAAAACCAAGCUCAUAGAGGCCAAAUCCAGCAAGUGAGAUCAAAGGAACAGCAGACAAUGGACUAAGAAGUCUGUGAAAGAGUGGGCAAUGGUCAAGCCACAAACUAAAACAAUACAUUGUGCAACGAGUCGCCAAACCUGAUAACUGAAACACUGCAGUUGGCAAGCCUGCAAACUGAAAUGAUGCAAUUGCACAAUGUACAUUCAGAAGUUCAACAAUGAUACCUACCUAACUACAUUGCGCCAGAGACCACUGAAACCAAGUAUGAUCUGGAUUGUCGAUGCAAUGAUGAGAGCACCUUGUGUUCCUCGCAUUGUCCGCAAGAAUUUCUUCACAGCAGUAGCAAAAUCUUACCAACUUUACAAGAUCACACAGAGGAUGUGACAAUCUUAAUGCUUAGAUACAGCUAGUGCGGAUACUACCUCAUGAGGAUCUGCUUCAUUGCUAUAGCGGCCAGCCAAUAUGAUGGAAAUUGUCGGCGCAACAAUGGUGUACGAUCCUCCCAUCACAGCUGGAAGACGAGUCCCGAAGAACGAUUGGCAGAGGGUGUUUAUCCCGGCAACGAACAGCAGCGUCUGAAUCACCCGAGCCUUCUCCUCCUGAGUGGCAAUGCAACGAAAUGCAGGUGAUUCUUGGGGAGACUCACAUUUCCACCUCCCAUCUGGGGAACAAGAGCACUGGGAAUAAUCACUGAUGUGCCCAGCAUCACAAUGUAGUGCUGGAAUCCAAGUAUGACGGCCUCAGCUGCAGGAAAAGAGAGAUUC